AAUGUUUUUGUUUUGUGUAAAGCACUUUGAAUGGUCCUGUACAUGAAAGGUGUUAUAUGAAUAAACUGCCUCGCCUUGUUCUAUUUUUAUCCUUCAACAUUUUUCUGAAUUUUUCAUCCCAUCUGUAGCCCAAUAGAUGUUGAAGAAGAUGAAGCCAUUGAAGAGGCCAUCAGACAAAGUCUUUUAGAAGAAACGGUGCAGUCCUCACAAGAUUCAAGGUUUCUAAAAACUUUGAGCAAAGAAGAAAUGAGUCGUGAGGGCAUGUAGUCUCCACAGCCUACAGACCAGUCUUCAUCAGCCGAGCCAGUGUGUGGAAGUCUGCUCUCCGACAGUUUAGUAGACGGAAGUUCGCGGACAUCUUUAUGAGUAUGAAGGUGAUAUCCAUAGUUGUGAAAAAGCUGCAGUAUUCGUUUCUUCCUCGGUGAUAACCGCCUUGAAAGCGCCGUAAAAGGAAAGUUUUCAGUAGGAGAAAGAUCUGCACCGCUGGCAGUGUUACGCUAAGCACGGCAGAGACAGAGAAUUUUCCGUCAGGUUACAUACGAUCUGGAAUUAUGUUAAAUCUGUGUCUUCACUGUGGUGUUAGACAUGUGCUCACACACUUGAUGUUUAUAUUGUAAAUCCUCUUAGA